CAUAAACGCAUCCAUUAAACGAUCAAAAACGUUCGUUUAGCACCUGGCUGAUAAGGGCACAAGCUCUAAAGGUGUGUUCAGAGUGUGUUCAAGGCGUCAAAGGUUUUAAUGGAGCCACGUUAUCAGCUCAAAAAUAAACACUUGUGAACCAUCAGUUAAAGAGUUCGACCAUCAUUCAGCCGGGGACGCUACCUCCACCGACGUUCUCUGUGGUACCAUAAUCAAUGACAGUGUAAACUCCAGACUUCCAUUAUCUGCAAUAGUUUGGUGACAAAGGGGGCGACAGAGCUGUGCGAUAUAAGCCAGGAUUGACACAGCUCCCCUAUCAUCCUCACCAUUACACCUGACCUCCUUCAUCACUGCUCACUCACUCAUCCCCUCUCCGCCUCUGUGGCCUUCUCCUGCACUUCCUUUCUAUCCCCGCUACAGACC